AGAAUUUCACAAACAUCAACUCAUUUAAUACUUAUAAUAAUUCUAUUAUAUAGGUGCUGUUAUUAUAUCCAUUUUACAGCUACGGAAACUGAGGCUUAGAGAGGUCAAGCAACUUCCCCAAGGUCAUACGCUUCUGUCAGUUUCCUUUAAUCACAUCAAGCCUACAUCAUCAAGUUUGCCAGUGUGAUGAAUGAAAAGUCCAGGUGGGGCCAGGAAGUGGGACUUCUCAGCCUUGACGCUUCCCUUUGGGGCCUUCUCACUAAGUACAGGGCCACUGGCGUGCUCACCUAGCGGGUGUGGUGUGGUGGGGGAGUGCUGUUCUCUCUUCUGCUGGCCUUCAUGACUCUUCUAUAAAUCUAAGCAAGAAAGUUCCAAGUAAGCAGAUGUUUUACAAGAGGCUUCAUUAAAGUUUGUGGAAACGAAGAGGGAAGCUGAGUUUGCUACAGGUUCACCUCCUGGCUUAGCUUUUGGCCAACAUCCCUGGGAUAGAGGACAUUGGUGCCUUACCUCUCCUGACUUCACUUAUCUGUGAUGUUUCCUCCACAUCCUGGAGAGUGAAGCCCAGAGAGAAAACGAGCCUCCCUUCUGUUCAAGGCCCACCUCCCACACUCUGGUUUCUUGUCUCAUUCCACGGUGGUGUCACUGGGAGUGACCAGCUCCUACUCAUUGUGAAAUAGACUUACUUCAUGACCACAGACCAAUCUUAUCAUAUGGCUGAGGUGCCUGCAAAUUCCAAAGGCGUGCAUUUCCAGAGGCAGGGCAGGGGGGCUUUCUGUUAGAUGUAACCUGGAGGUUUUGUUUGUUUGUUUGUUUUUGUGAGUAAAGAACAGGAACAGCUAGGGCUUCCUAUGUCUUGCUUCCAUCCUUCCCUUCAGGGUGUUUGGACUGGGGAACUAAGGAAGUCAGUCUCAGGAUUGGUUCUGCCUUGGGCUCUUCUGGAUGAGAAACAAGGCCAAAAUCCUUGGCAGGGUCCUCUCAGUACAGAAAAGGGUUCAAUCUUCAUGCUAUCACCUCUAUGAUGUGAUAAAGAAGAAUGUGUUACUACCUAAUAUACCCUCCAAGACCUUUCGACUCCUUCAAGUGUAUAAAUUCUCACUGAUUUGACAAGAUUGAUUUUCUACCCUUUACUUUGCAAAAUCCAUUGUGAGACCGAAGCAAGUAAAAUUGAUUUCUGCUCACUUCCUUUCCCACCUAAGGCCUCUUUGCUCAUUCCUGAAGAUAUGAGAUUUUCUAACUUUCAAUGCCCUUUUGAAAAGCUUGGGGUUUUUUUAGUACAGUAAAAAUCAGAUGGUUCUACAGGUCUGUGUGGGAAUUUUAAUGUGAUAUUCUAAGUGUUGAUGUGUCAUUCAUUCAAGAAGACACCUCUGUUGUAUCAUACUUGGAAGCCUAAGUAUUUACAUUGUAAAUGUUGAGCUAUGACCAUGAAAACUGAGGAUAGUAUAGUAUCACCUUGAUUUUCAUUCAAUUCACAUUUUGUGCAUUUCGCUUAAGGAUGUGCUUCAGAAAGCCAGUGGUAGAAAUUUAUUCCUCUGAGUUGCAUUGUACAGAAUCAAAUGUAGCGGGUCUGCAUUUUACUUUUCAACAUAAGGUUUAAAGAAUGUCCUUUUUAGUUCUCUAAAGAGAAUUUAAUUGAUUCUUAACCACCAUCAGCCUGGCUGGAAAUUCAACAUUAGUCACAAUAUGGGCUCCACUGAAGGGUUAAGCAGAGAUAUCACGGGUUUGUGUUGCCCAGAACAUACAAGAAGGGCCCUUUGGUCUUAGGUCCAGGUGGCCGCUAAUGAUGUUUGUAGUCUAGGCCCAUGUGGUUCUUUGGAGGCAGGAGGCUCCGAGGCAACCAUGUAACAUAAUGCUCAGGCUGGGGCUGGGAGCCCUAGUGCCUGAGACCCAGCCUUCCUACAGAGACCCUGUAGCCACUCCCUCUUAAUGCUGUGCCACCUCUCCAACACAAGCUGUUAUGUGGGAAGAGGACAUGAGCACCAGCUUCUGGGACCCAUUCCCAAACCCCAGAUCCCCUUUAGUCUUGGAGAAUUAAAGUCUCUCCAUGUUAGCAAACUCUACCCUAGGUCUCCAAGUGCUCUCUGUCUUCUAAUCCUGGGAAAAUCUAGCAUAAUUCCCUCAGUGAGUUUCAGAGAUGCAAGCCAAGAAAGUGGGCACUCAUCACAGAAGGCACCUGCCUCUGGGGAACCAUAACCUUCAACUCUGCAGCACAAAUGUUCCUGAGCCCAGGGAAAUACAAGCUUGGAUAAUUUCUAUUCGCCAACAAAACAGAAAAAGUGAUUAUAGGGAGGUGACUUUGGAGGUUGGAGAAUAAGAAAGAUGUAAAGUAAUUGUCUCCAAGAGUGGGAAAGUUAACGUUACUAGAUAAACAUGGUAGGCUUGUUAGGUAUGUUGAGUGCCCACUUGAGCACCGUGGUCAUGCUUGUUUUCCUCCAGCCAUAUUUAGUGCUCAGGUACAGCUGUAGCUUGGGUAAAGAACCGGGAAAGAGGAACAAUGGAGUUAAGGGGAGUAUCCAAGAGUAUGACUGCUGUCUAAACUGCGCAAGGAGGGAUAGGAGGACUUGCGAGGGCAGGGAUGGUGGAUGGUGAAAAAGUGAUAGGGUCAAUGGACUGGAGGUUCUAGUGGUCUCAGUGAGUCAAAGAACUAUUGGUGUCUGGGGUACUAGAGUGAGUGAAUUAGAGAGAGAGAGAGGGCUUGAUGGUUAGUGAGAGGCUCGAAAUCAAGAUUUUACAGGUAGUUUGGUUAUUGGAGAUGGCAGACUCUAAGAGAAAGUGGGUGGAUUAAGUGAUGUAGAUGAGAAGAUUAUUGGAAGUGAAGACUUCAAGGGACAGAGACACUAGGAUGCAGGGUGAAUUGUCUUCGCUAUGAGUGGAAAAGUUGUCAAGAACAAUGACAAGCAUCAACGAUUAAAAGGAAGAUAGAAAUGGCUUUUAUCCAAAAGACAGACAAUAACAAUUUCUGGCAAGGAUGUGGAGAAAAGGGAACCCUCAUACACUGCUGGUAGGAAUGUAAAUUAGUGUAACCACUAUGGAGAACAGUUUGGAGGUUUCCCAAAAAACUAAAAAUAGAGCUACUAUAUGAUCCAACAAUCUCAUUCUGAGGUAUAUAACCCAAAAGAAAAGAAAUCAGGAUAUAGAAGAGAUAUCUGCACUCCCAUGUAUAUUGCAGCACCAUUCAUAAUAGCCAAUAUUUGGAAGCAACUUAAGUGUCCAUCAACAGAUGAAUGAAUAAAGAAAAUGUGGUACAUACGCACAAUGGAGUACUAUUCAGCCAUAAAAAACUGAGAUCCUGUCAUUUGCAACAAUAUAGUUGGAUCUAAUAACCUGACGUUUCUUUCCUUUUCUUUUUUUUUUUUUUUUGAGACGGAGACACGCUCUGUCGCCCAGGUUGGAGUGCAGUGGCGCGAUCUCGGCUCAUUGCAACCUCCACCUCCCGGUAAUAACCAGACAUUUCUUGAUGACCACAACAAGGAGGAGUGGGGGGUUGUGUCCUCUGAUGGAAUUCAGAUAAGAUGUGUUCCCCAGGCCAGCAGUCCUUCAUGCUGCUUGUCAUAAGGAGAAAAGAAUAUGGAGAGAGCAGCAUAGAUGCAAAUCAGCCUUUACUCGUUGGAAGACCAUUGCUGGCAGGAACCUAACUGAAACAGAGCCAACAGCUUAUGAAAAACAACCAGCCAGCAGCUUCUUCCCAAGCAACUCAACAGCAAACCUGUAGCAUUGUGUGGCCAGGUGCCAUGGCUCACGCCUGUAAUCCCAGCACUUUUGGAGGCUGAGGCAGGAGGUUCGCUUAAGUCCAGGAGUUCAAGACCUAUAGCAUUGUGUAUUUUGCUUUUCAUCUUCUCUACUCUCCCUCUGGGAGUUUAAACAAUAGAACACUGAUUGGAAGACAGAAACAAGAUGUUAGGAAACUCGGGAAACCUGGAGCAAACAGUUGCCUCUGAAAGGAUUUCACUGCUUUUGAGAGGUGACAGCGUGCUGGCAGUCCUCACAGCCCUUGCUCGCUCUUGGCGCCUCCUCUGCCUGGGCUCCCACUUUGGCGGCACUUGAGGAGCCCUUCGGCCCGCCGCUGCACUGUGGGAGCCCUUUUCUGGGCUGGCCAAGGCUGGAGCCCACUCCCUCAGCUUGCAGGGAGGUGUGGAGGGAGAGGCGCGAGCGGGAACCGGGGCUGCAUGCGGCGCUUGCGGGCCAGCUGGAGUUCUGGGUGGGGGUGGGCUUGGCAGGCCCCGCACUCGGAGCAGCCGGCCAGCCCUGCUGGCCCCGGGCAAUGAGGGGCUUAGCACCCGGGCCAGUGGCUGCGGAGGGUGUACUGGGUCCCCCAGCAGUGCCAGCCCACAGGCGCUGCACUCGAUUUCUCACCGAGCCUUAGCUGCCUUCCCGCGGGGCAGGGCUCGGGACCUGCAGCCAGCCAUGCCUGAGCCUCCCACCCACUCCAUGGGCUCCCAUGCAGCCCGAGCCUCCCCAACGAGCACCACCCCCUGCUCCACAGCGCCCAGUCCCAUCGACCACCCAAAGGCUGAGGAAUGCGAGCACACGGCGCGGGCCUGGCAGGCAGCUCCACCUGCAGCCCUCGUGCGGGAUCCACUAGGUGAAGCCAGCUGGGCUCCUGAGUCUGGUGGGGACGUGGAGAGUCUUUAUAUCUAGCUCAGGGAUUGUAAAUACACCAAUCAGCACCCUGUGUUUAGCUCAAGGUUUGUGAGUGCACCAAUCGACAGUCUGUAUCUAGCUGCUCUGGUGAGGACGUGGAGAACCUUUAUGUCUAGCUCAAGGAUUGUAAAUACACCAAUCGGCACUCUGUAUCUAGCUCAAGGUUUGUAAACACACCAAUCAGCACCCUGUGUUUAGCUCAAGGUUUGUGAAUGCACCAAUCGACACUCUGUAUCUAGCUGCUCUGGUGGGGCCUUGGAAAACUUGUGUCGAAACUGUAUCUAACUAAUCUGAUGGGGACGUGGAGAACCUUUGUAUCUAGCUCAGGGAUUGUAAACGCACCAAUCAGCGCCCUGACAAAACAGGCCACUCGGCUCUACCAAUCAGCAGGAUGUGGGUGGGGCCAGAUAAGAGAAUAAAAGCAGGCUGCCCGAGCCAGCAUUGGCAACCCGCUCGGGUCCCCUUGCACACUGUGGAAGCUUUGUUCUUUCGCUCUUUGCGAUAAAUCUUGCUACUGCUCACUCUUUGGGUCCACGCUGCUUUUAUGAGCUGUAACACUCACCGCGAAGAUCUGCAGCUUCACUCCUGAGCCCAGCGAGACCAUGAGCCCACCGGGAGGAAUGAACAACUCCAGACGCGCUGCCUUAAGAGCUGUAACACUCACCGCGAGGGUCUGCAGCUUCACUCCUGAGCCAGCGAGACCACGAACCCACCGGAAGGAAGAAACUCCGAACACAUCUGAACAUCAGAAGGGACGGACUCCAGACGCGCCACCUUAAAAGCUGUAACACUCACCGUGAGGGUCCACGGCUUCAUUCUUGGAAGUCCGUGAGACCAAGAACCCACCAAUUCCGGAUACACUUUCACAUUGGAAAUGGGAUUUUCCCAUUUCAAAAAAUGAAUGUAAUUUGAACAUUGGAAUCACUAAUCACUUUUGAAUUCACUAAUCUUUUUAAUACAAUUCAAAGCAGUUGCUCUCAAACUGUAAAAUCACACACAGAAAUUGGAAAAAUACUGAUUCCCCAGGCCACAGACUUGAUGAUUUAGAAUCUCAAUCAGGGUGGGGAGUGGAGAGGAAGGGCAGACUCUAUAUUAAAAAAAAAAACUCCUCAGACUACUCUGAUACAGAUAAAUCUUAGGAAGCCAUUACUCUAGAGCAAAGAAGGACUUGGUUAUUAUUCAACAGGGUAGCACUCAAAGUUAAACUGUAUUUUCCAGACCAUCAGUCCAAAUGGAGGCUUCGACAGAGUAAUGUUUUCAGUGAUAAGAAGCCAAAUCUCUGUAUCAGUGGUCCAUCGAAGCAGCUUACCAUCAAAUUUUGAGAUCCCCCAAACUCACUGCUAGUGUCCCUGACUGAAAACCCCUGUGGUGCUUGCCAAUUCCCAGUCAUUCUGUUCUCCCAGCCCUCAGGCAAAGUCCCGGAAAAAAAAAAAAAGCUUCUGAAAGUAUUAGAGAACCUGAAAGAGAUACCAUACCUAGGUGACUCCGAUUACCUUCAGAGGCUGAAAUAGCUGUCAGAAAGAGAAGCUCUUAGCCACUUGCAGCCCUUCAUGGGCAUCACUUUUUGGUCUUGAGUCAAUGUAGAUUAGGUGCAUCAAUUCCUACUGCAGCUGACCAUCAGUUAACAUCUCUGUUCCUUAUCAUAACUGACUUGAGUAUAAUCAGCAGGUGAACACACGCUCUAUCAUUGUCCAUCUUUCUAAGCUUCUGUGUAUUGAUUUUCAGCCUCGGAGCUGGGCCAAAACAGCCUUGAAUUCAAAGCGAUUUUUCGACACUGCAUUUUUAUUUAAUUCAUUCAUUUAUUCAUCAAAUAUUUGCUAUAGUACAGAUAAUGAAGAUACUGCAGUAAAAAAAAAAAAAUUAAGCCAGAAACCCUGCUGUCAUGGAGUCUCCCAGUGAGAUGAUAAUAAAAAUAAUAAGCAAAGUAACAAAUACAUAUGUAAUAUGAUGAACAAAAUAAGUAAGUAAAAAAUAUAAUAUGUCAGAUGGUGAUAGGUGCCAUGGAGACAAGUAACUCAGCAUCAAGGAGGAGGAAGAGUUGGGGGUAGGGAUUGUGCACUAAUGAUGGUGGCAGUUAAACAGCACUUGAUUGCUAAAAAAUACAGGACCCUAAAUGACAAUGCUUAAAUAUCUGGAGUUUAUUACAGGAAAAGGAUACAAUUGAGAAAGAGCAUUAAUGUAAGGCUAUACAUCACAGCCAAGGGCUACAUGGUAACAAGGGAUUGGAGAGAUCAAGAGUAGGACUGUCUUCCCUCCAUAAGGGCCCUGGUAGGAUGCACUCUUGCUUUCUGAUCAGCAGCCAGUAUCUCCUUGAACCUGGAAACCCAAAAUGGAGUUUUAACUGAAUAUUUUUUUUUCUUUUUUGAGGCGAUGUCUCGCUCCGUCACCCAAGCUGGAGUGCAGUGGUGCAGUCUCGGCUCACUGCAACCUCCACCUCUCGGGUUCAAGUGAUUCUCCUGCCUCAGCCUCCCAAGUAGCUGGGACUACAGGCAUGCGCCACCACGUCUGGUUAAUUUUUGUAUUUUUAGUAGAGACGGGGUUUCACUAUGUUGGCCAGGCUGCUCUUGAACUCCUGACCUUGUGAUCCACCCGCCUCGGCCUCCCAAAGUACUGGGAUUACUGACUGGAGAUUUUAAAAAAUAUAUAUUUAUUUUGCUGGCUACAUAUACAUACUCCUGCUGUGUAACCAGCCUUGGCAGCAGAGACCUCUGGGGGGUGGGGGCUGGGGGGCUCACCCUGACCAGGUGCGGAUCACCAAUCUCAUGGUUAUCAAUAAACAAUGCUGACAAGCUGGUACAAACCUCCCCAAACUCCUCAUACCCAUGGUUACACAGCAACACUAUUAACCAAUGGGUUUCAUGCCUUGGCCAGGGAUCAGUGCCAUAUAGAUACAGGUGCAUUUCUUAUUUCAACAGAAUAACUUAGGCCAAUUCUAUAAGUGCUGAAAUUAACUCUCACAGCACAGAUUGCAAUUCCGAAUAGCAAUUCUAAAUUCUAAAUUGCAAUUCUAAAUAGCAGGUCAAAAUCUCAAGGCGGUGACAAAGACAGCUACACAGAAAGUUAAACGAAACUUUGUUUUUUUUUUUUUUUUUCUUUCAGGCAGGAAGAUCAGUAAGCACAAAGGCCCCGAGGCAGGACCAUAUUCAGAGAAAAGCAGGGGGCCAGUCUCUGAGAUCAAGACUGAAUGAAUGAUGGGGAAACAGAUGAUCUCAAAGUUGUAAGGAACAGAUGCUGGGUGGAAAUCUGAAUUACAUUGUCUUCCAAAUGUUUUAAAAUUCUGCCUUGCUUUUCCCUUCAUAUUGCAAUGGAGUAUGUCAGUUCAUUAGAUCUGUGGUUCUUAACCUGGGAGUCUAUGGAUAGAAUUCAGGAGUCCUGUAAAUUUAAAUUUUAAAAAUCUAGUUUUUAUUAAACUCCAACUGAAAUUGAACAUCUCUCUUCAUUAGGAAUGCAGGCAACUGGAAUAGUAUUAGUAGUAUCUGUACCUCUGUCAUCCAUAAAUAUCACAGAGUUUUUUUUUUAAAUUCAAAAUACAGUCUUGCUUUGUCACUCAGGCUGGAGCGCAAUGGUGUGAUCAUAACUCACUGCAGGCUUGAACUCCCAAGCUCAAGUGAUCUUCCUUCCUCAGCCUCCCCAGUAGCUGGGGGUACAGGUGCAUGCCACCAUACCCAGCAUUUAUUUUAUUUUAUUUUUUAGUAGAGACAAGGUCUUGCUAUGUUGCCCAGGCUGGUCUUGAAUUCCCGGGCUCAAGCAAUACUCCCCUCUUGGCUUCCCAAAGUGCUAGGAUUACACGGGUGAGCUACAACGCCUGGCCUCACAGAUACUUUUGCAUCAGAUUAUAGUUGUUGCAAAUAUUCUGAAAUCAUCUUUUAUGGUCAUGAUUUCUUUGAAAUUACUGUGGUUAUUAACCUGCUACGAGAUUGCACAUGAUCAUGGAUUUCCUGUCUCCAGAUCAAAUGAUGAAGUUGAAUGUUUUCACAACUGGAGUUUAACACAAAAAUGUCUGGAGCAUUCUGAUGUCUCUGAGAGAUUAUCUUCACCUUGUAAACUGAGCUAUGGAAGUUUUAAUUCCAUUUGGAACAAUGUGUCUCCAUGGAUGGCCUUUUCAACAUUUGCAACCCUUAAAACAAAAAAUUGAUGUUGACUGGAUAUUCAUUAUAAUAUGCCUCUAACCUUAUCAAAGACGACUCCACAGUUUAAUGUUCUUUUUGAAGCUAACCAACAGCCUUCACACAAAAAUGCCUUUAAAAAGUCCUAUAAUCUGCAUAUAUAUUGUAUUGUUAUUUUAU